rnacentral:rRNA from 1 species
GUCGAACGGCAGCACGGGUGCUUGCACCUGGUGGCGAGUGGCGAACGGGUGAGUAAUACAUCGGAACAUGUCCUGUAGUGGGGGAUAGCCCGGCGAAAGCCGGAUUAAUACCGCAUACGAUCUACGGAUGAAAGCGGGGGACCUUCGGGCCUCGCGCUAUAGGGUUGGCCGAUGGCUGAUUAGCUAGUUGGUGGGGUAAAGGCCUACCAAGGCGACGAUCAGUAGCUGGUCUGAGAGGACGACCAGCCACACUGGGACUGAGACACGGCCCAGACUCCUACGGGAGGCAGCAGUGGGGAAUUUUGGACAAUGGGCGAAAGCCUGAUCCAGCAAUGCCGCGUGUGUGAAGAAGGCCUUCGGGUUGUAAAGCACUUUUGUCCGGAAAGAAAUCCUUGGUUCUAAUAUAGCCGGGGGAUGACGGUACCGGAAGAAUAAGCACCGGCUAACUACGUGCCAGCAGCCGCGGUAAUACGUAGGGUGCGAGCGUUAAUCGGAAUUACUGGGCGUAAAGCGUGCGCAGGCGGUUUGCUAAGACCGAUGUGAAAUCCCCGGGCUCAACCUGGGAACUGCAUUGGUGACUGGCAGGCUAGAGUAUGGCAGAGGGGGGUAGAAUUCCACGUGUAGCAGUGAAAUGCGUAGAGAUGUGGAGGAAUACCGAUGGCGAA